GAGAGAACUUGCUCUGCCUUGUUGUACAAUGUAUCUCGAAGACGUUUCAAUUCCAAUUUUAAGAGGUUAUCUUCAAUCAUCAAAUCCUAUCAAAUGCCAAAAAAGAGAAAUAAUACAAAAUUAAAAGAUCACGCAGCAAAUUGGUGCCAGAGUAGGGAACAAAGUCCAGAAAUCUGAUUUUGAACUGUCAAGGCAAGUACUGGAAGAUAAGGCUGGGAGGUCUCUCAUCAGUAGUAAAAUGUAUUCAGACAGAUACGAGUACAAACUAGAGAAAAAUAUCAGACAGAAUUCUAAACUGGAUAAGGAGGAUCUACUAGUUACAACAAUUUACCUGUGUAAAGUUGAACUCCUGUCUGACGUUUUUCAAAUGUGAUGUCAUUGCCUCAAUACGCUCUUCAAAGUCAGUCAACUGAUUUUUUAAGUUUGCCUUUUCUUUCUGCAACUUUUGCAGCUGUAA